CUUGCUCUCCCGGUUGAAGGUUCUCAUCGCUGCUGUAGUGCUGUUCUAUCUUUGGGCCAUUUAGAAAAGCUGGAGCCACUCCUACACGGCUGCUGUUCUUUGACAAGCCGCGAACACAUUUCAGUUCUUCUCGGCAAACUGAAGGGCUGCUUUAUAAACGUGCUCCACCCCAGAGCCCUGUCUGUUUCAACUCCCUCAGCCCUGGCUGGGGCCCUGAAGCCGCCUCGGGACGCUCGCUGCCCGGGGUUCCUUUGUUCCCUCCCCUCCAGCGAUCCAGAACUCCCGGCCCAGCGCUUCGCUUUCCCCUACUUCCCAAACCAGCGCCCAGCCGGGGACCGCCACCGCGCCCGGUUUGCGGGCGGCCCGGGACGGCGGCGGGGGCGGGCGGAGCGGAUUGGCGCAACGGACGCACGUGGGGCCGCCCUCACGCCUCAGCGCUGGCAGCGCGGCGGCCGCCGCCGCGGGGGCUCCGUGCGGAGCGGCGCGGGGUACAGUGCGGUACUGCUCGGCGCUCGCUGAGCUCACCGCCGGACGCUCAGCAGCACCCGUGCUACUGCAACGAGGAGGGGAGAGAGAUCCCGCCGGCAGGAAGGAAAGGAGAAAAGAGAAUUGGACAACCUGUCUGUGAGAGCUACAGAGUCCAUCAUGAUUGGGUUUGAGAGCAUUGUAUGAAAAAAUCGUGUAAUCUACUGGCUGAGGAUUGGCAUGGCCAGGAAAUAGGGCUGAAGUCCACUCUUAAAUUAAGUCUGGGAUGCUCUCAGUUAUGAGAAUGAAAAACAAGUUUCUUGGACUUGAAAGGAUGAUGAAAUUCCUUAUCCAACUUUUCUUUCAUCUAUGCCCCUAUGUAUCUGUAUCUUGAAGUUAGACCAGCUUCAGUCAUGUGUGCUGCCAGCUUCAUUCAUAUGUGCUUGCAGUGCUGUAGAUUUUUCCUGUUCCACCCUCCUUAAAUAAAACUAAGGAAAAUAAGGCAAGUAUUGUGCUCAUUGAAUGUAUGUUGUUGAGUAAUAGCAGUAAGGACAUUUUAAGUCUUAAAUAAAACUGUCUUGGAUGGCAUUCACAUCAAAAUUGUCUUCUAAGGAAAUAGACUUUUGAUUCUCAUUAUAUGAAAUAUUCAAAAAUUGUAUCUACUAAUAUGUUUUGCUUGGAAGGAAUAGGCUCAAAUGUCUGAUGAGUUAAGCACUUUUCCUGGAAUUCAAGUUCCAUAAGAAGUGGCAAUUGGGGUCACUUUGCUAUUACCUCCUUCACAGAGUACACCCAAAAAGUCAACAGACUCAAAGCUGCAUGGAUCAGAAUGAGUAAUGUUCCAGGGUUAUUACAUUUAGAUCACAUACUUUCUUUCUAAUACCUUUUCUACUAUACCACCUGGGUAGUUUGCAAAGAAAAAGAAGUUCUUAUGUAGUAAAGAUCCCUAAUUUGCGUGUUUUGAUUAACCAUCUAUUGUCAUAUGUCAGUUAAAGUCAUAUCUAUUUUUUUCUAUAUAUUCUGGUCAUGCUAUGAAAUUGAGGAGUUUGAAUUGUAUUGAAGUACAAUGUGCAAGUAGUCCUGUAUAGAAUGGGAUGUGUAGGGGGGAAAAAAAGUCAGUAAAUGUGUAGGAAAUUCCAGAACUAAUCCAAUUUUUUUCUUUUAAAGACUAUGGAUUUGCUCAGGGCAUCCCUCAAAUGUAUAUCCAAAUAGUGAGGCCAGUAGUUACAGCUUGAUAAAGUUGGAGUAGAAAGAUGUUGAACAGAAUAUACUACUUGUGGUGAAAAGCAGGGUUUUUUGUUUGUUUGUUUUGUCUGGAUUAUCAUAGAAAUGCUAAAAGUAUGUCGAUGCCCCCAUAGACUUGUAUGCAUUUAGCCUUCAUUGUGAAUUUUGUAAUUAUAUGAAAGUUACAACUCCACUGUAAACGACAUUUUUUGAAUCCAUUUUCAAAUAGACAUUUUUCUUGUUUAAAUUUCUCUCAUGGUGCUCUAAUGGGUUUGUAGAAUUUCUAGCAUCUGGAAAAGAGUCUGUCUUUUAUAACGCUUGUCAGCAUCACCAUUUAUAGUCUGUACAGCAUACCAUCUACUUCUUGCUGUGAAAAUGCUGAGCUAUUCUAGCUUAGAUGCACGUGACCUAUGAGUGUUGGAUACUUCUAUCCUAUGCAUAAGCCCUACAAUUACCUCGUGCUUAUUUGUCACAAGUGUAGACAUUAACCCAGUCUUUAUAUUGGAAUGUGUAUGUAAUAGAGGAAUGACUGAUGGAGCAAUGUAAUUGUGUGAUGCAAAUAGAAUGUGUUCUUCAGACAUGAAUGUUAUGUCUUGUAACUAGUAAAAAUAUUCUGGACUGAUAGGUAUCUAUCAUUUUCAUCUGUCAAAUGUUAGUUGAUAUGAUUAUCAAGUACUAAAUAGAAAUGCUUAACUUUUUGUAAUGCUUUUCAAACUAAUAUUACAUCAUCAAAGGGACAAUAAUUUCUGUUUUUAAAAUAAAAGUUUAUUUUUAUUGUGAUUUUUAAGAUACUUGUGCAUAUCGCAUAGUGCAUAACCACAGCUUGGUGGUUGUGAAUUUAAACUAUUAUGUAGUAGUGGUGUCUCAAGUGAUAUAAAUGACAUCGGUAGGUAAGCAGGAUAAAAGGAUAUUAAACAGGCCUAGACAUAGCUUGUUUCCCAUUCCCCACCACCUUUUUUUUUUUUAAAUAUUCAUGAAUUGAUGAGGUUUUCUUUUAUAUAGAGAGGUUUAGGAAAGAUUCUUCCUGACAUCAUCUCCUGGAGGAAAAAAUACUUUGGGAAGGAAGGUUACGUUGUGGUGGCAUUAAAACAUUUUAGACAAGCACUAGCCAUAAAUGCAUGCUGGAGUCCCGCCAAGGAGGAACUGCAUCUUUCAAAAUGCUUUUCAGACCUCUUUCUCAAUUCCAAUUAGUUGAGGUUCUUUCCUUUCUUUUGCUACCUUGUAGUCCUACCCUCAGAAAUCAGUUAGUUGUUUCCAGUGUUUUUCUACAAUGAGUAAUUCUUAACAAGUAGUUUGCCUAACAGGAAUUUCAGUUCAUUUCUGAUGAGUAAAAAAUGUAUUAAGCAAUCUUUUCAUGCAACGGGGAAGGGCUAAGAAGAAUCCACUUGUUUUAUCAAGUAGAUGUAACUGUGUGUGUGCGAAAAAAUACUUUUUCAUUUUGUGCAAAUGCACACUGUAAGUAGAGCAAAUGUGUGUGAAAUAACAAAAUCUUUAACUUCCAUCAGUUAUUGUGAGAUAUAAUCUCAAAAACUUUAGUAAUUUUUUUUCAUAGAUAAGUUGCAG
rnacentral:lncRNA from 1 species